CAACCCUCACCCUCGUGAUGUUAAAAAGUCACUUGCGGUGGACUUGGACCGUGCCGUAGUUGGCUCGUCCUGAAAUGCAUUAGCUUGCGCUUUUAGAGUGCUGGGCACCGGUGUGAUAAUUAUCUGCGCCAACGCCUAUAGGCCUCUUCAGCGGCGCUGCUUACAGCCGUCCUGACGGACAACAUAUUUUAAAG
rnacentral:misc_RNA from 1 species